ensembl:lncRNA
CAGGUCUAAACCAGGUCUGAACCAGGACUAAACCAGGUCUAAACCAGGUCUGAACCAGGUCUAAACCAGGUCUAAACCAGGUCUAAACCAGGUCUAAACCAGGUCUAAACCAGGACUAAACCAGGUCUAAACCAGGACUAAACCAGGUCUAAACCAGGUCUAAACCAGGACUAAACCAGGACUAAACCAGGACUAAACCAGGACUAAACCAGGUCUGAACCAGGUCUAAACCAGGUCUAAACCAGGACUAAACCAGGACUAAACCAGGACUGAACCAGGACUAAACCAGGACUAAACCAGGUCUAAACCAGGUCUAAACCAGGACUAAAUCAGGUCUGAACCAGGUCUAAACCAGGUCUAAACCAGGUCUAAACCAGGACUAAACCAGGUCUAAACCAGGUCUAAACCAGGUCUAAACCAGGACUAAACCAGGACUAAACCAGGUCUAAACCAGGACUAAACCAGGUCUAAACCAGGACUAAACCAGGACUAAACCAGGUCUAAACCAGGUCUAAACCAGGUCUAAACUCACACACUUCCAGGUCCUUCAGGCUUUAAUAAAGACGUGUUUUUAAAAAGGGCUAAAACUGAACUUCCCUUUAAGAGUUUGGACAAACAGGAGAGACGUUUACCGCAGGAGUUCAGCUUUAGAAAUAAUAAUCUCUUUAAUUUAUUCUUCCCCGAGUCGUUUUUGCAGUUUUAACGUAGAACCAGGAUCAAACUGUGUCCGUGUUUAGUUUCACGUUUCAUCUGCUGCUCUUUUUGUU